GGGAGUUUGGCCGAGUGGUUAAGGCGCUGUGUUUAGGUCAUGAGCUUCUAGCUUAUACCGUAAAUCCCGCAGUGGGAAACCGCGCAGGUUCGAAUCCUGCAGCUCUCA